rnacentral:rRNA from 1 species
CCUACGGGUGGCAGCAGUGAGGAAUAUUUGUCAAUGGGCGGAAGCCUGAACCAGCCAAGUAGCGUGCGGGAUGAAGGCCCUACGGGUCGUAAACCGCUUUUGCACGGGGAUAACACCCUCCACUUGUGGAGGUCUGCAGGUACCGUGCGAAUAAGGGCCGGCUAAUUCCGUGCCAGCAGCCGCGGUAAUACGGAAGGCCCGAGCGUUAUCCGGAUUCAUUGGGCUUAAAGGGAGCGUAGGCGGGCUGUCAAGUCAGCGGUAAAAAUGCGGUGCUCAACGCCGUCGAGCCGUUGAAACUGGCGUUCUGGAGUGGGCGAGAAGUAUGCGGAAUGCGUGGUGUAGCGGUGAAAUGCAUAGAUAUCACGCAGAACUCCGAUUGCGAAGGCAGCAUACCGGCGCCCUACUGACGCUGAGGCACGAAAGCGUGGGUAUCGAACAGGAUUAGAUACCCGUCUAGUC